GGGCGUUAGCUCAGUUGGAAGAGCACCUGCCUUGCAAGCAGGGGGUCGAGAGUUCGAAUCUCUUACGCUCC
rnacentral:tRNA from 1 species